AGCGACAGGCCUAACACAUGCAAGUCAGGGGCAGCACAAGGAGCAAUCUGAGGUGGCGACCGGCGCACGGGUGAGUAACACGUAUGCAACCUGCCUGUAAGCGGGGAAUAACCCGUUGAAAGACGGACUAAUACCGCAUAAUACUAAAUUACUGCAUGGUAAUUUAUUUAAACAUUUAUGGCUUACAGAUGGGCAUGCGCAUGAUUAGCUAGUUGGAGAGGUAACGGCUCCCCAAGGCAACGAUCAUUAGGGGUUCUGAGAGGAAGGUCCCCCACACUGGUACUGAGACACGGACCAGACUCCUACGGGAGGCAGCAGUGAGGAAUAUUGGUCAAUGGACGAGAGUCUGAACCAGCCAAGUCGCGUGCAGGAAGAAUGUCCCUAUGGAUUGUAAACUGCUUUUGCAGGGGAAUAAAGUGCAUCACGUGUGAUGUUUUGUAUGUACUCUGCGAAUAAGGAUCGGCUAACUCCGUGCCAGCCGCCGC
rnacentral:rRNA from 1 species